UAAUACGUAAGGAGCGAGCGUUGUCCGGAUUUACUGGGCGUAAAGGGCUCGUAGGUGGUUUCUUAGGUCUCACGUGAAAUUCCCUGGCUCAACCAGGGAGGGUCGUGGGAAACCGAGAGGCUAGAGGGCAGGAGAGGAGAGUGGAAUUCCCGGUGUAGCGGUGAAAUGCGUAGAGAUCGGGAGGAACACCAGUGGUGGAGACGGCUCUCUGGACUGUCCCUGACACUGAGGAGCGAAAGCCAGGGGAGCAAACCGGAUUAGAUACCCGGGUAGUCCUGGCCGUAAACGAUGGGUACUAGGUGUGGGGGGUUCGACCCCCUCCGUGCCGCAGUUAACGCAUUAAGUACCCCGCCUGGGGAGUACGGCCGCAAGGUUGAAACUCAAAGGAAUUGACGGGGGCCCGCACAAGCGGUGGAGCAUGUGGUUUAAUUCGAUGCAACGCGAGGAACCUUACCAGGGCUUGACAUGCUGGUGGUAGGAGCCCGAAAGGGUAACGACCUCUGGUUUACCAGAGGAGCCAGUACAGGUGCUGCAUGGUUGUCGUCAGCUCGUGUCGUGAGAUGUUGGGUUAAGUCCCACAACGAGCGCAACCCCUGUCCUUAGUUGCCACAGGUAAUGCUGAGCACUCUAAGGAGACUGCCAGGGACAACCUGGAGGAAGGUGGGGAUGACGUCAAAUCCUCAUGGCCCUUAUGUCCUGGGCGACACACGUGCUACAAUGGCUAGUACAGAGGGUUGCAAACCCGUAAGGGGGAGCCAAUCCCAGAAAACUGGCCCCAGUUGGGAUUGUCGGCUGCAACUCGCCGACAUGAACGAGGAAUCGCUAGUAAUCGCGCAUCAGCCACGGCACGGUGAAUACGUUCCCGGGCCUUGUACACACCGCCCGUCACACCACGAAAGUCGAUUCCACCUGAAGUCAUCGGGCUAACCCCGUAAGGGGAGGCAGGUGCCUAGGGUGGGGUUGAUGAUUGGGGUG
rnacentral:rRNA from 1 species